rnacentral:lncRNA from 1 species
AUAGCCCUACUAAUACGACAGAAAAUGCUCAGGAAAAAAAAUGAAGAUGAACUGACAGUGCAAUGUUCAUGCUCAGAUUCAAAAUACAAAUGCAUAAUAUCCCAGUAAGCGUAAAUUACAGAGUUAUACACUGCAGGCUUGGAAGAGAGUGGAAAUAAGCAGAAGACAUGUUCAUAUCACAAGAAGAAUUACCAGACAAGAACACACGGUUAAGAGAGCCAGAUCAAAGGAUACAAAUUCAGGGCCAGACAAGCAAACGCAUAAAAUAUGACAUUACAAUGCCAUUUCCUGCUUGGGGGGGGGGGGGGGGG